GGGAGCGUAUAAGGUUCUGGUGUCCUUCUCGGUCUUCAAAACCGUUGUUGCCUGGCCAAAACCGGGCAGGGUGGGUUCGAUUCCCACACGCUCCCGCCA
rnacentral:tRNA from 1 species